UACAGAGACUGCAAGCGUAUUCGGAUUCACUGGGCGUAAAGGGUGCGCAGGCGGCCGUGUGUGUGAGGCGUGAAAGCCCGGGGCUUAACCCCGGAAUUGCACCUCAAACUACAUGGCUAGAGCAUUGGAGAGGGUAGCGGAAUUCACGGUGUAGCAGUGAAAUGCGUAGAUAUCGUGAGGAACACCAGAGGCGAAGGCGGCUACCUGGACAAUUGCUGACGCUCAGGCACGAAAGCCGUGGGGAGCAAACAGG
rnacentral:rRNA from 1 species